rnacentral:misc_RNA from 1 species
UACGUAGGGGGCAAGCGUUGUCCGGAAUUAUUGGGCGUAAAGCGCGCGCAGGCGGUUCAUUAAGUUCGGUGUUUAAGGCUGGGGCUCAACCCUGGUUCGCACCGGAAACUGGUGGACUUGAGUGCAGAAGAGGAAAGUGGAAUUCCACGUGUAGCGGUGAAAUGCGUAGAGAUGUGGAGGAACACCAGUGGCGAAGGCGACUUUCUGGGCUGUAACUGACGCUGAGGCGCGAAAGCGUGGGGAGCAAACAGG